GGCCAUCUGAAGGAGUGUGUCGCGUGUGCAGUUUCCCGCGGCGUCUGGACAGUGCCUCUUUUUUCUUCGUAGCUGCCAGCGUGUUACCUGGCUUGAUGUAUUUCGCUGCUGACGCGCUAAUGUGAGUGCUGAACUCGGCCAGACAGAAGUACUACAGCGCAAAGAAAGCGAGGCAGCAUCACUGCUCCGCUUCCGCUUACACGUCCGGUUAUGUGUCGUCGACGCAGCAGGGUCAGCGUGUGUCUCUCGUUUCUGUGCCGAACGACCUGCGCGCUUCGAAGCUUGGCGACGAGCCGUGCCCCGUGCUGACAAAUCUAUGGACGCGAAGUCGGUGCUAUGUGAGCGUCAUUUCGACGAGCAAUAUAGUGAGCGUGGUUUCACGCACGUGAUAAAUGGUGAAACUGUUCAGAGUCCGCGAAAGCGACCGGUGCUGGAACCCGACGUGGUUCCAACCUCAUUUUCUAGUGUUCCCGCAUGUCUAUUGAAAGCGCCGAAGAAAAGAACAUGGAGAACAUCAGCGUGCGGCUUGGCUUCGAAGAUCUGGCGGCGAGAACAAAGCGCGUCUGCUUGUGAAGAAGGAACUGACUCGCACAGUGCAGAAGGCGAUUGCAACCAAGUACCUGGUUUGAACUCGCCAGCAAUUCCCGAUAUCCGCAAAUGUGGUCUUCCCAGCGCUUACUGGGCUAGGCACCUGAUGGCUGGCGCAGACGUCACGGCGUUUAUUGUGUGCGCUCUAGAAGGUGAGAACAUAUAUUUUAAAAGUAUGUGCUGAUGACAACAAAUGAGAGGACAGUGCAAUCAACGGCCUCUCUGCAAACCGCUAAAAUCAAAACCUUUCAUAUUACCGAGAUUGAAAUGGCAGGACAGUUGCUUCGCAAAAAGGACUAUAUGAUCGCAUGCAGAGUAUGGCCCAUUUCGGAAAUCGCAGCGCCGCGAGAUAACCUGGCGGGCGCGCGACGCAUUAUGGGAAAAGUGAGCGAGCGCCGACCAGCCGCCCGUCUUCGCUUCGUCCUGCGUUCGCAUAGUUGCGGUGUGUGUGUGUGCGCGUGCUUCGUUUGGUUUGAGAUUUCGUGUACUUGUUGGUGGUGGGCGGCUGCAGGUGCGUUAUAUUAACUGUUACGUGCCUGUGGGUUACAUAGUGACCUCAGUCACUACUGCGCGCGAUGUCGUCGAAGUGCCGAGGCGGCGGCCAGACUUGUUGUGUGCCUGGUUGCGACAACAACGCGCUAAAAGACAAGAACGUUUCAUUUCACGCAUUCCCUGCAAAUGAAAAAGAAAAAAAAGGAGUGGGUGAGAAGAAUCAACCGCCAAGGAAGUGCUGGUCGCUUCUCUUUGUGGCAGCCUUCUAAGCACCACCGGAUAUCCGGAGCUCACUUCAACGCAAGUGGACGCCGUGGUUACCUGGACCGGCUGCCAACAAUUUUCCCCCAUAAAGUCAUCAAUCAACUAAAUCCUUCCUUUAAUACCGGUAAAUAUAUAUAUUCAGACGGUUAUUGCAUGUUAUCAUAACUUCCAAAUCUUUUCCAGUCGCGAAACGCAAGAAGACGAGCUCCCAAACUGCCUCUGCCAGCCCGGUGCUCCUUCUGAACGAGUUGGAUAUCGGCUGCGUAGUUGACGUGCCCCAAUGCGAUCAACCAAGUGACGUUGUUUCCCAGGAGCCCACCCAGCUGACCUUCGGUGCACCGGCUUCGCCUCGCACGGAAACGGAAGGUGCCGACCACUCGUACUCCAUGGGGCCUCCAGACGCAGCACCUGCUGCCACGCUAAGAAAAGUCAACUACCUUCUCGAAGUCUGUGGAUAACUCGACCAUGAAAAUAGCUUGCUCCUCAAAGACAAAUCUGUGCUCCAGAAAGAGGUUGAGGAUCUGAAGGCUCAGUUGCACGAUGUGAAAGUGGAGGCGCUCAAAGAGAAACUGAAACUAAAAGAUCCUGUCUCCAAACUUCACGAUUUUGUUUCAGAUGAGAAACGACUCGUGUUUUAUACGGGGUUUAACUCCUUCAAAAAAUUUGAUGCGUUUGUGGAACAUGUUGAAGGCAUGUACGAGGCACUGAAAACGGGUGCUGGCAGGCCACCAGCACUGACAAUGAAAGAACAGCUCAUUGCAGUGCUUUGCAGGCUCAGGGUUGGGUU